GACGAACGCUGGCGGCGUGCCUAAUACAUGCAAGUCGAGCGAAGUUUUUCUGGUGCUUGCACUAGAAAAACUUAGCGGCGAACGGGUGAGUAACACGUAAAGAACCUGCCUCAUAGACUGGGGCAACUAUUGGAAACGAUAGCUAAUACCGGAUAACAGUAUUUCUCGCAUGAGAGAUAUUUAAAAGUUGGUUAUGCUAACACUAUGAGAUGGCUUUGCGGUGCAUUAGCUAGUUGGUGGGGUAAAGGCCCACCAAGGCGACGAUGCAUGGCCGACCUGAGAGGGUGAUCGGCCACACUGGGACUGAGACACGGCCCAGACUCCUACGGGAGGCAGCAGUAGGGAAUCUUCCGCAAUGGGCGAAAGCCUGACGGAGCAACGCCGCGUGAGUGAAGAAGGAUUUCGGUUCGUAAAGCUCUGUUGUUAGGGAAGAAUGGAUAUGUAGUAACUAUACAUGUAAGAGACGGUACCUAACCAGAAAGCCACGGCUAACUACGUG
rnacentral:rRNA from 1 species